UAGUCCACGCCGUAAACGAUGAUAACUAGCUGUCCGGGCUCAUAGAGCUUGGGUGGCGCAGCUAACGCAUUAAGUUAUCCGCCUGGGGAGUACGGUCGCAAGAUUAAAACUCAAAGGAAUUGACGGGGGCCUGCACAAGCGAUGGAGCAUGUGGUUUAAUUCGAAGCAACGCGCAGAACCUUACCAGCCUUUGACAUCCUUCGACGGUUUCGAGAGAUCGAUUCCUUCCUUCGGGACGAAGUGACAGGUGCUGCAUGGCUGUCGUCAGCUCGUGUCGUGAGAUGUUGGGUUAAGUCCCGCAACGAGCGCAACCCUCAUCCUUAGUUGCCAUCAUUUAGUUGGGCACUUUAAGGAAACUGCCGGUGAUAAGCCGGAGGAAGGUGGGGAUGACGUCAAGUCCUCAUGGCCCUUACAGGCUGGGCUACACACGUGCUACAAUGGCAUCUACAGUGAGCAGCGAUCCCGCGAGGUUAGCUAAUCUCCAAAAGAUGUCU
rnacentral:rRNA from 1 species